AAGUCGUAACAAGGUCUCCGUUGGUGAACCAGCGGAGGGAUCAUUACAGAGUUGCAAAACUCCCUAAACCGUUGUGAACCUACCACUAAAACAGUUGCUUCGGCGGGCCGCGUCCCCCUAUGAGGGACGCCCCAGGAAGUGCCCGCCGGAGGCAUACCAAACUCUUGUUUACUACAGGCCUCUCUGAGUAUUGUACUUAAAAUAAGUCAAAACUUUCAACAACGGAUCUCUUGGUUCUG
rnacentral:misc_RNA from 1 species